rnacentral:lncRNA from 1 species
AUGGUUGACUGAUUGUAACUAUGACUUUUGAUGAUCUAUCCACAGUGAGGCGGAGGAGUUUCUCCUUUUCUCCUCUUCUUAUGGUGAAAGACCUUAACAGCAUCUGGUAAACAGACACGUGCCCACCAUGCAGCCCUUUGGUGCCCACUGCUGUCCCCAGGGAUCCUCUCCGCAGCCCACCCGCACCACUGGCUGGCCCACAGGGGAGCGAAGCGGGAUGCCUUGUGAUGCCCUGCAUCUCCUUGUUUUCCUCUGUGUUUGUUCAGCUAGUGUCAAUGGUGCUUUGAUGUGUCUGUCUGCAUAGUCCCUCUGAAUUCAAUGUCAUUAAGGUUGUAUAAUCUGUUAAGCAGUGGAUGACGGAGGGUGAGUAGGAUCUUCUCAUGUUUCUGGGCAGAGUUUUGUUUCGUACAGGUUGGUUACCCCGAAUGAAGGAUCCUGAGAAGUGAAAAUUGCAUUGGGAACACUCCUUCUAAAGUUGGGUGGUUGGGUAUGGUCCCUGGGAUGGGGAGGAGACAGCCACGCAUGGAAGUCAAGCAGACCAUGAGGAGGACCCUACCUAGCACAUGGUGGCUGAAGUACCAGCCUUGAUUCUUUUCCCAUAUCAGGCCCACACAUUUAUUAAGUGAAACAAGGACGAGACAGCGCGCUGGCAACUGCCACAUUAGACAGUGGUAUACUACACCUCUACUUGGUAAACAGAGUAUACCAAUCGACCCUUUUGCUCUUAGCUUGGGAAGGAAGGCAUGAGACCUCCCCCACAUACUGGGCUUUAGGCAAAAAAAUGGAAAUGAAAGAUUUUUUGUUGUUGUUGUUAAGUUCUGGAAAACUGUUUAUGGCACUGCCAGACAACAAUAUGAUUGUCUACAGUCAUUCCCUAUAACAUCUUCAUUUUAUGGUCCAGACUUCGACUUCAGUAUAUGCACAGACCAAGUAAGUUUUAAUUAAGUAUGUAAGUGCAUACUGUUCCAU